rnacentral:hammerhead_ribozyme from 1 species
CAAUCACUGAGGAGUCCCAUAAUAGAACGAAACGGCCGUCCAAUGC